rnacentral:pre_miRNA from 1 species
ACAAGCGUGUUCUGUCUUGGCAGCUGAAGUUCCGAAUUGCUGCAGAGAUAGGGACGCGCUUACUA